CCUACGGGAGGCAGCAGUAGGGAAUCUUUCACAAUGGGCGAAAGCCUGAUGGAGCAACGCCGCGUGCAGGAUGAAGGCCUUCGGGUUGUAAACUGCUUUUAUAAGGGAGAAAUAUGCUGGUAAUUUAUGAAUAAGAAUCUGCCAAAUACGUGCCCGCAGCCGCGGUCAUACGUAGGCUCCGCGCUGUUUCUGGGGUUUCUGGGUGUAUCGAGGUGCGUAGGUGGUAUAAUAAGUAUCUAUUGAAAUCUGGUGGCACAACAAUUCGAAAUACUAUCUAAACUGUUAAGCUCGAGAGCGUUAGCGGUAAGUGGAAUGUCUAGUGUAGGAGUGAAAUGCGUAGAUAUUAGAAAGAACACCGAUAGCGAAGGCAGGUGACGGGGACGGGACUGACGCUGAGGCACGAAAGCGUAGGGAGCAAACAGGAUUAGAUACCCCAGUAGUC
rnacentral:rRNA from 1 species